AACGAACGCUGGCGGCAGGCCUAACACAUGCAAGUCGAACGAAGGCCCGGAGCUUGCUCCGGUGUCCUUAGUGGCGGACGGGUGAGUAACACGUGGGAAUUUGCCUUUCGGUACGGAACAACUCCCGGAAACGGGGGCUAAUGCCGUAUACGCCCUACGGGGGAAAGAUUUAUCGCCGAAAGAUAAGCCCGCGCCGGAUUAGCUAGUUGGUGAGGUAACGGCUCACCAAGGCUACGAUCCGUAGCUGGUUUGAGAGGACGAUCAGCCACACUGGGACUGAGACACGGCCCAG
rnacentral:rRNA from 1 species